AAGACCCCAAUGCGUCGCGUAUGCGGCGUCUCCACGCGACCCCGGGUCAGGCGGGGUUACCCGCUGAGUUUAAGCAUAUC
rnacentral:rRNA from 1 species